rnacentral:snRNA from 2 species
AUAUCUUUCUCGGUCUUUUGGCUAAGAUCAAAUAUAGUAUCUGUUUUUAUCAGUUUAAUAUCUGAUAGAUGGAUCUACAGAUCCAUGAGAUAUUAAUUUAAUUUUUUGUGGGGGGUUUUGGCUUUGCUCUCGAGACCUUGAGUGUUGCCUGGGCAUUGCACUAAAGCCUUGGUAGACGUGCCCCAA